rnacentral:misc_RNA from 1 species
GGUGGCUCCGCCUCCGUGAUCUUGAAUUUCCGGUUAAAAAGAUUGAACAUCCUGUAGUUAUAGCUACCCAGUUCAUCUUUUGUGGUGUCUGGCAAUUUCUUUUGCUUCUUUUCUUUCCUGUAGCUCCCCAUUGAUUGGUUUCUCUUUUUCCAGCCCUCUGCUUGAGAGAGAGGGAGAAAGGGAGAGAUUGUGAGAGGGGAGAGAGAGGAAGGAGUCGUGAG